GGUGAAGUGCAGAGAUUUGUUUGGAAAGGGAUAAUUCAACCAUUCUCAGAUCUGCUGUUAAAACCAGCAAUAGCCGGAUUUCUGAAUUAUCUGCUCUCUCCUUUAUUCUCUCUUCUCUUCAUUAUAUCCCGCAACUGUGCAAUAGUGCUUUCUCCAUUUUCCAGGCUUUGUAACUGCGGUAAAACAGAACCCUGGAGAUAUACUGAACUUAACCAACAUAUUGUUUAGUUUUAACAAAUUGCAAUAAUAGUAAUUCCCUUAAAGACGACAUUUCAAAAAUACUUGACUUAAACAUUGUUGUUAUAAAAUCGUGUUUUGAUUUUUUGACCCAACGAGGGAGGGACACCUUAGCCGCAUUGAGCCCCCAGAAUUACAAUACAGUUUUGAGCC